GAUGAACGCUAGCUACAGGCUUAACACAUGCAAGUCGAGGGGCAUCACAGUGUAGCAAUACACGGGUGGCGACCGGCGCACGGGUGCGUAACACGUAUCCAAUCUGCCCGUUACUCGGGGAUAGCCUUCUGAAAGGAAGAUUAAUACCCGAUGGCAUGUAUUUCCGGCAUCGGAGAUACAUUAAAGAUUUAUCGGUAACGGAUGAGGAUGCGUACGAUUAGCUGGUUGGCGGGGUAACGGCCCACCAAGGCUACGAUCGUUAGGGGUUCUGAGAGGAAGGUCCCCCACACUGGAACUGAGACACGGUCCAGACUCCUACGGGAGCAGCAGUGAGGAAUAUUGGUCAAUGGUCGAGAGACUGAACCAGCCAAGUAGCGUGAAGGAUGACUGCCCUACGGGUUGUAAACUUCUUUGUUUGGGAAUAAAUGAUACUACGUGUAGUAUUUUGCAUGUACCUUACGAAUAAGCAUCGGCUAAUUCCGUGCCAGCAG
rnacentral:rRNA from 1 species